AAAAGGAAUACUGGGCAGCUGGAAGACACAAACCAUAUUCAACAAAGUACUACUAACGUUUUUCGAACAAGGAUGAGGGGUAGCCGCAUGAUCAUUGUUGGUCUUGUUCUUCUAGUGUUAGCCUCAGGUACGGCGACGGGAUCGACAAUGGGAGGAUCUCUAACCGGAACAAAUUGCUUAGUCAAAACCCCUAUGCCUUGUGAUGAAAUCAAGCGAUGCAUCGAUACUUGCAACUCCUUGUCUAACCUGAAAUUAGUUGCGUUGACAAAGAGUGUAGAUGCACAUUUUGUUGAAGUUUGACAUGAAUCUACAAGCAAGGCAUAUAUCUUGUUAUCGGAGUAGUAGUAGUAGUAAUCAUUGAGUGUGUACUGGCAAUA